CAAAUGAAUAGACGGGGGCCCGCACAAGCAGUGGAGUAUGUGGUUUAAUUCGAAGCAACGCGAAGAACCUUACCAGGGCUUGACAUACAGACGGAUGGUGUGGAAACACAUCAGACCUUCGGGACGUCUGUACAGGUGGUGCAUGGUUGUCGUCAGCUCGUGUCGUGAGAUGUUGGGUUAAGUCCCGCAACGAGCGCAACCCCUGUUGUUAGUUGCCAUCAUUAAGUUGGGCACUCUAACGAGACUGCCGGUGACAAAUCGGAGGAAGGUGGGGACGACGUCAAAUCAUCAU
rnacentral:rRNA from 1 species